rnacentral:rRNA from 1 species
AGAGUUUGAUCCUGGCUCAGAUUGAACGCUGGCGGCAUGCCUUACACAUGCAAGUCGAACGGCAGCACGGGAGCAAUCCUGGUGGCGAGUGGCGAACGGGUGAGUAAUAUAUCGGAACGUGCCCAGUAGUGGGGGAUAGCCCGGCGAAAGCCGGAUUAAUACCGCAUACGACCUGAGGGUGAAAGCGGGGGAUCGCAAGACCUCGCGCUAUUGGAGCGGCCGAUAUCAGAUUAGCUAGUUGGUGGGGUAAAGGCCUACCAAGGCUACGAUCUGUAGUUGGUCUGAGAGGACGACCAGCCACACUGGGACUGAGACACGGCCCAGACUCCUACGGGAGGCAGCAGUGGGGAAUUUUGGACAAUGGGGCAAGCCUGAUCCAGCAAUGCCGCGUGCAGGAAGAAGGCCUUCGGGUUGUAAACUGCUUUUGUCAGGGAAGAAAUCUUCUGGGCUAAUACCCCCGGGAGGAUGACGGUACCUGAAGA